rnacentral:rRNA from 1 species
GAAAAGAAACCAACAGGGAUUGCCUCAGUAACGGCGAGUGAAGCGGCAAAAGCUCAAAUUUGAAAUCCGGCGUCUCUCGGCGCCCGAGUUGUAAUUUGAAGGCAGUUUUCUGGUGCUGGCGCCCCUGUCUAUGUUCCUUGGAACAGGACGUCGCAGAGGGUGAGAAUCCCGUCUGGCGGGGGUGUGUGGCCUUUGUAGAUUUCUGGCGACGAGUCGAGUUGUUUGGGAAUGCAGCUCUAAGUGGGUGGUAAAUUCCAUCUAAAGCUAAAUACUGGCGAGAGACCGAUAGCGAACAAGUACAGUGAUGGAAAGAUGAAAAGAACUUUGAAAAGAGAGUGAAAAAGUACGUGAAAUUGUUGAAAGGGAAGGGUGUUGGAUCAGACUUGGUGCUUUGCGAAUAUCUUCCCCUCGUGGGUUGUGCACUCGCACUGCGCUGGGCCAGCAUCGGUUUGGACGGCAAGACAAUGGCGUGGGGAACGUGGCACUCUUUUGUGUGUGUUAUAGCCCUGGCUGAUGUUGCCUGUGCGGACCGAGGACUGCGGCGUUUGUGCCUAGGAUGCUGGCGUAAUGAUUCAACACCGCCCGUCUUGAAACACGGACCAAGGAGUCUAACGUCUAUGCGAGUGUUUGGGUGUGAAACCCGUGCGCGUAAUGAAAGUGAACGUAGGUGAGAGCCCCCUCCAGGAGGGGGGGUGCAUCAUCGACCGAUCCUGAUGUUUCUCGGAUGGAUUUGAGUAAGAGCAUAGCUGUUGGGACCCGAAAGAUGGUGAACUAUGCCUGAAUAGG